AUUGAACGCUGGCGGCAGGCCUAACACAUGCAAGUCGAGCGAGCGGCGGACGGGGGAGUAAUGUGUGGGAAACUGCGUGAUGUAGGGGGAGAACUACUGGAAACGGUGGCUAAUAUCGCAUACCAUCAGAUGUGCGCAGAUGGGAUUGGAGAGUGGGUGGGGUAACGGCUCACCCAGGCGACGAUCCCUAGCUGGGCUGAGAGGAUGACCAGCCACACUGGAACUGAGACACGGUCCAGACUCCUACGGGAGGCAGCAGUGGGGAAUAUUGCACAAUGGGCGCAAGCCUGAUGCAGCCAUGCCGCGUGUAUGAAGAAGGCCUUCGGGUUGUAAAGUACUUUCAGCGGGGAGGCGUUACCCGCAGAAGAAGCACCGGCUAACUCCGUGCCAGCAGCCGCGGUAAUUC
rnacentral:rRNA from 1 species